AUGACUUUUGAACAUGUCGAUAUAUGGGUUAGGGUUGACGAUCUCCCGUUGGACAAGAGAUCAAAGGCGUUUGGCGAAGGGCUAGGAAAUUGGUCGGGCAAGAGUGUACGAGUUGAUGUUGAGAGGGAUGGGUUUGCUAAAGGCUCAGAGCUCAGAUUCAGGGUGAAGUUGCCUAUAAAGGAGCCUUUGGUUCGAGGAUUCUACCUGAAGAAAUCUGUAGAUGAUGUGGAAAAAACAUGGUUUGAUUUUAAGUAUGAGAAGAUCCCGCAUUUUUGCUUCGAGUGUGGUUGCUUGGUUCAUGGUGAACGAGGUUGUGUUCCAACAAAGGAUCCGGAGCAGCAAUGGGGAGGAUGGUUGAGGGCAUCACCUGGGCGUUCUGUAGGACAAAAGGAAGGAGCGGCCCGUGGCCUGUCAGGGAGCUCGAAUAGUUAUGGCAGUGUGAAAUCUAACGAGGGAGGGAGAUUCAAUAUGAAAAUGGGGGUUGUGAGAGACCUUCCGACGAAGCGUAAUUUACAGAACGAGUUUGCCAAACCGGCCGUCUCGCGCACUGGCGGAGAGGAGAUCGGGGAUAAAGAGAGGAGAGGUUAUGAUGAUAAGAAGAAGAAGGAGGAGCCCCCGAUGGAGGAGAGAGACCUACGUCAAGAUCUUGAGCAAAAGAGAGAAAGGGAGCUGCGGUCCAAACUACGCCAGAGACAACAGGAAAGACAGUCGGAGCUCAAGGCAAACUAUAAGCAGUUCAGACAUAGUUGGAUUGAUGGGGCUGGUUCUUCUAGCCAAUAUAGCGAGAGGGAGAGAAGGCAAGGCUACUAUGUGAGAAAACCUAGACCGGAUUACAGGCCAGUUCAACGCAGUCCGGAUAGCCCGAGGCAGGGGGCAAAGUAUGAGAGAAAGAGGAGGUAG
rnacentral:rRNA from 1 species